rnacentral:rRNA from 1 species
UUGGAGGGCAAGUCUGGUGCCAGCAGCCGCGGUAAUUCCAGCUCCAAUAGCGUAUAUUAAAGUUGUUGCAGUUAAAAAGCUCGUAGUUGAAUUUCGGGAUCAGAGUGUCGGUCGUGCCUCGGUACGCACUGGUAUUAUUGGUUCCUACCUUCUGAAGAACCGCGAUGUCAUUAAUUUGGUGUCGUGGGAAAUCAGGACUGUUACUUUGAAAAAAUUAGAGUGUUUAAAGCAGGCUUACGCUUGAAUACAUUAGCAUGGAAUAAUGAAAUAGGACGUUUGAUUCUAUUUUGUUGGUUUCUAGGAUUGACGUAAUGAUUAAUAGGGAUAGUUGGGGGCAUUAGUAUUCAAUUGUCAGAGGUGAAAUUCUUGGAUUUAUUGAAGACUAACUACUGCGAAAGCAUUUGCCAAGGAUGUUUUCAUUAAUCAAGAACGAAAGUUAGGGGAUCGAAGACGAUCAGAUACCGUCGUAGUCUUAACCAUAAACUAUGCCGACUAGGGAUCGGAUGAUGUUAAUUUUUUAAUGACUCAUUCGGCGCCUUACGGGAAAC